rnacentral:tRNA from 1 species
GCGGGAAUAGCUCAGUUGGUUGAGCGCAACCUUGGUAAGGUUGUGGGGAGGCGUCCAGCCUCGUCGGUUCCGGCG